rnacentral:rRNA from 1 species
GGGUUGUGAGGUUAAGCGACUAAGCGUACACGGUGGAUGCCCUGGCAGUCAGAGGCGAUGAAGGACGUGCUAAUCUGCGAAAAGCGUCGGUAAGGUGAUAUGAACCGUUAUAGCCGGCGAUGUCCGAAUGGGGAAACCCAGUGCAAUUCGUUGCACUAUCGUUAACUGAAUACAUAGGUUAACGAGGCGAACCGGGGGAACUGAAACAUCUAAGUACCCCGAGGAAAAGAAAUCAACCGAGAUUCCCCCAGUAGCGGCGAGCGAACGGGGAGCAGCCCAGAGUCUGAAUCAGCUUGUGUGUUAGUGGAACGGUCUGGAAAGUCCGACGGUACAGGGUGAUAGUCCCGUACACCAAAAUGCACAGGCUGUGAACUCGAAGAGUAGGGCGGGACACGUGGUAUCCUGUCUGAAUAUGGGGGGACCAUCCUCCAAGGCUAAAUACUCCUGACUGACCGAUAGUGAACCAGUACCGUGAGGGAAAGGCGAAAAGAACCCCGGCGAGGGGAGUGAAAAAGAACCUGAAACCGUGUACGUACAAGCAGUGGGAGCACCUUUAUGGUGUGACUGCGUACCUUUUGUAUAAUGGGUCAGCGACUUAUAUUCUGUAGCAAGGUUAACCGUAUAGGGGAGCCGCAGGGAAACCGAGUCUUAACUGGGCGUUAAGUUGCAGGGUAUAGACCCGAAACCCGGUGAUCUAGCCAUGGGCAGGUUGAAGGUUGGGUAACACUAACUGGAGGACCGAACCGACUAAUGUUGAAAAAUUAGCGGAUGACUUGUGGCUGGGGGUGAAAGGCCAAUCAAACCGGGAGAUAGCUGGUUCUCCCCGAAAGCUAUUUAGGUAGCGCCUCGUGAACUCAUCUUCGGGGGUAGAGCACUGUUUCGGCUAGGGGGUCAUCCCGACUUACCAACCCGAUGCAAACUACGAAUACCGAAGAAUGUUAUCACGGGAGACACACGGCGGGUGCUAACGUCCGUCGUGAAGAGGGAAACAACCCAGACCGCCAGCUAAGGUCCCAAAGUCAUGGUUAAGUGGGAAACGAUGUGGGAAGGCACAGACAGCCAGGAUGUUGGCUUAGAAGCAGCCAUCAUUUAAAGAAAGCGUAAUAGCUCACUGGUCGAGUCGGCCUGCGCGGAAGAUGUAACGGGGCUAAACCAUGCACCGAAGCUGCGGCAGCGACACGAUGUGUUGUUGGGUAGGGGAGCGUUCUGUAAGCCUGCGAAGGUGGCCUGUGAGGGUUGCUGGAGGUAUCAGAAGUGCGAAUGCUGACAUAAGUAACGAUAAAGCGGGUGAAAAGCCCGCUCGCCGGAAGACCAAGGGUUCCUGUCCAACGUUAAUCGGGGCAGGGUGAGUCGACCCCUAAGGCGAGGCCGAAAGGCGUAGUCGAUGGGAAACAGGUUAAUAUUCCUGUACUUGGUGUUACUGCGAAGGGGGGACGGAGAAGGCUAUGUUAGCCGGGCGACGGUUGUCCCGGUUUAAGCAUGUAGGCUGGUUAUCCAGGCAAAUCCGGAUAAUCAAGGCUGAGGUGUGAUGACGAGGCACUACGGUGCUGAAGUAACAAAUGCCCUGCUUCCAGGAAAAGCCUCUAAGCAUCAGGUAACACGAAAUCGUACCCCAAACCGACACAGGUGGUCAGGUAGAGAAUACCAAGGCGCUUGAGAGAACUCGGGUGAAGGAACUAGGCAAAAUGGUGCCGUAACUUCGGGAGAAGGCACGCUGGUGUGUAGGUGAAGCCCCUGCGGGUGGAGCUGAGACCAGUCGAAGAUACCAGCUGGCUGCAACUGUUUAUUAAAAACACAGCACUGUGCAAACACGAAAGUGGACGUAUACGGUGUGACGCCUGCCCGGUGCCGGAAGGUUAAUUGAUGGGGUUAUCCGUAAGGAGAAGCUCUUGAUCGAAGCCCCGGUAAACGGCGGCCGUAACUAUAACGGUCCUAAGGUAGCGAAAUUCCUUGUCGGGUAAGUUCCGACCUGCACGAAUGGCGUAAUGAUGGCCAGGCUGUCUCCACCCGAGACUCAGUGAAAUUGAACUCGCUGUGAAGAUGCAGUGUACCCGCGGCAAGACGGAAAGACCCCGUGAACCUUUACUAUAGCUUGACACUGAACAUUGAGCCUUGAUGUGUAGGAUAGGUGGGAGGCUUUGAAGCGUGGACGCCAGUCUGCGUGGAGCCAACCUUGAAAUACCACCCUUUAAUGUUUGAUGUUCUAACGUUGGCCCCUAAUCGGGGUUGCGGACAGUGUCUGGUGGGUAGUUUGACUGGGGCGGUCUCCUCCCAAAGCGUAACGGAGGAGCACGAAGGUUAGCUAAUCCUGGUCGGACAUCAGGAGGUUAGUGCAAUGGCAUAAGCUAGCUUGACUGCGAGCGUGACGGCGCGAGCAGGUGCGAAAGCAGGUCAUAGUGAUCCGGUGGUUCUGAAUGGAAGGGCCAUCGCUCAACGGAUAAAAGGUACUCCGGGGAUAACAGGCUGAUACCGCCCAAGAGUUCAUAUCGACGGCGGUGUUUGGCACCUCGAUGUCGGCUCAUCACAUCCUGGGGCUGAAGUAGGUCCCAAGGGUAUGGCUGUUCGCCAUUUAAAGUGGUACGCGAGCUGGGUUUAGAACGUCGUGAGACAGUUCGGUCCCUAUCUGCCGUGGGCGCUGGAGAAUUGAGGGGGGCUGCUCCUAGUACGAGAGGACCGGAGUGGACGCAUCACUGGUGUUCGGGUUGUCAUGCCAAUGGCACUGCCCGGUAGCUAAAUGCGGAAGAGAUAAGUGCUGAAAGCAUCUAAGCACGAAACUUGCCCCGAGAUGAGUUCUCCCUGAGACUUUAAGUCUCCUGAAGGAACGUUAAAGACGAUGACGUUGAUAGGCCGGGUGUGUAAGCGCAGCGAUGCGUUGAGCUAACCGGUACUAAUGAACCGUGAGGCUUAACCUUACAACGCCGAAG